CCUGAGUUCGACCCCUGGUACCAAAAAACAAAACAAAACAAAAAAACAAAAACAAAAAAGGAAAGGUAGAUAUGGACAGCGAGGAGCAUAGAGAACACGAGUAUGUUUUGGAGGAGAUGGCUGAAGAAGGUCCAUUGAGGAAGGAAUACAGGGAAGGCCACCAGUGUGACAACUAGUUCUUAAUGCAAAAUGAUUGAGCACACAAGAUCAAUCUUGAAGAAGAGCUAAAUAGUUUCAGGCACCUGAAGUAAACUGAUAAAAUAGCUGAGAUUUAUUAUGCUCUUUAAAGCAUUAGAAACUUCAUUUAACUCUUAACCAAUCCACCAGAGGUACGGCCCCUCUGCCCCUGGGAGCCCUGCCCAGGCCCAGGUACUCAGGACAGCGCUCUCCUCGGGUCGGGCGGGGUAGAGGGGCAUGGCUUCCAGGACAGUGCGGCUCCAGAAACCACCCAUAACCAUCUCGAAACCGGCCUCCCGGUUUCCCAAAGGGAAGAUUUCCCCGCAGGGUUACAGGAACUUUGAGGGCGUAAAAAGCGUUGAUGUAACGCAUGCGCACUGUAGAGCAAUAGUAAACCGGCUCCACUGCGCAGGCGCCGGGCCUCAGAGCUGGGCGUUUCUUCCGGGUCAGCUACUCCAGGCGGAGCUGUACCGCAGCGGGUCUGAUUAAAUAGGGGAUGCUUUGUUGCCCAGGCUGAUCUCAGAGUCACAAUCCACCUGCCUUCAUGUCCUGAGUGGAGAAUUACAGGAUCCAGUCCAGCUAAUAGGACAGAAAGAGUAGAGGAGAAAACUUAGUCUUCUUUACCUACAAGGUAG